UACAGAGGGUGCAAGCGUUAAUCGGAUUUACUGGGCGUAAAGCGCGUGUAGGCGGCCAGGUAGGUCCGCUGUGAAAACUCGAGGCUCAACCUCGAGACGUCGGCGGAAACCAUCUGGCUAGAGUCCGGAAGAGGAGAGUGGAAUUCCUGGUGUAGCGGUGAAAUGCGCAGAUAUCAGGAAGAAUAUCCGUGGCGAAGGCGGCUCUCUGGGACGGUACUGACGCUGAGACGCGAAAGCGUGGGGAGCGAACAGG
rnacentral:rRNA from 1 species